rnacentral:rRNA from 1 species
AUUGAACGCUGGCGGCAGGCCUAACACAUGCAAGUCGAGCGGAGCGGCGGACGGGUGAGUAAUGCCUAUGAAUCUGCCUGGUAGUGGGGGAUAACGUCCGGUAACGGGCGCUGAUACCGCAUCCUCUCGCCUUCGCCUAGGUCGGAUUAGCUAGUGGGGGGGGUAAAGGCCUACCAAGGCGACGAGCCGUAACUGGUCUGAGAGGAUGAUCAGUCACACUGGAACUGAGACACGGUCCAGACUCCUACGGGAGGCAGCAGUGGGGAAUAUUGGACAAUGGGCGAAAGCCUGAUGCAGCCAUGCCGCGUGUGUGAAGAAGGUCUUCGGAUUGUAAAGCACUUUAAGUUGGGAGGCGUUACCAACAGAAUAAGCACCGGCUAACUUCGUGCCAGCAGCCGCGGUAAUAC